rnacentral:rRNA from 1 species
UUACUCUUCGGAGUGAGAGCGUACACAGGUGCUGCAUGGCUGUCGUCAGCUCGUGUCGUGAGAUGUUGGGUUAAGUCCCGCAACGAGCGCAACCCUGCAUUCAGUUGCCAUCGGUAAGGCCGGGCACUCUGGAUGGACUGCCGGCGACAAGCCGGAGGAGGUGGGGACGACGUCAGGUCAUCAUGGCCCUUAUGUCCAGGGCGACACACGUGCUACAAUGGCCGGCACAACGGGAAGCGAAGGGGCGACCCUGAGCGGAUCCCACAAAAGCCGGUCUCAGUUCGGAUUGCAGUCUGCAACUCGACUGCAUGAAGUUGGAAUCGCUAGUAAUCGUGGAUCAGCCAAGCCGCGGUGAAUACGUUCCCGGGCCUU